CGAACGCCACCGCAAGAUGGUGAAGUCAGUGGUGGAGUAUGGAGGGAAGCGAGUCAGAGGAAGUGACCUCAUCACGCCGACAGACGCCGUAGCCAUCACCAAACAGUUCUUCAAAGGCCUCUCUGGUGUGGAGAACGUGUACACUCAGCACCAGCCUCUCCUCCAUGACACUCUGGAUCAGCUGAUCAAAGGUCGACUGAAGGACAGUCAGUUCCCGUACCUGGGAGCGAGCAGCCUCAGAGACAGGUAACACCUGACACAGCUAACGGGAGCUAACAU